UGGCUUGCAGCUCUAAGGCAGAGUUUCCGGCUUUUAACCGGAAGGUCAGGGUUCGAUUCCCUGCGGGCCGA
rnacentral:tRNA from 1 species